GCGUUAAGUUGCAGGGUAUAGACCCGAAACCCGGUGAUCUAGCCAUGGGCAGGUUGAAGGUUGGGUAACACUAACUGGAGGACCGAACCGACUAAUGUUGAAAAAUUAGCGGAUGACCUGUGGCUGGGGGUGAAAGGCCAAUCAAACCGGGAGAUAGCUGGUUCUCCCCGAAAGCUAUUUAGGUAGCGCCUCGUGAAUUCAUCUCCGGGGGUAGAGCACUGUUUCGGCUAGGGGGCCAUCCCGGCUUACCAACCCGAUGCAAACUGCGAAUACCGGAGAAUGUUAUCACGGGAGACACACGGCGGGUGCUAACGUCCGUCGUGAAGAGGGAAACAACCCAGACCGCCAGCUAAGGUCCCAAAGUCAUGGUUAAGUGGGAAACGAUGUGGGAAGGCCCAGACAGCCAGGAUGUUGGCUUAGAAGCAGCCAUCAUUUAAAGAAAGCGUAAUAGCUCACUGGUCGAGUCGGCCUGCGCGGAAGAUGUAACGGGGCUAAACCAUGCACCGAAGCUGCGGCAGCGACACUGUGUGUUGUUGGGUAGGGGAGCGUUCUGUAAGCCUGUGAAGGUGUGUCGUGAGGCAUGCUGGAGGUAUCAGAAGUGCGAAUGCUGACAUAAGUAACGAUAAAGCGGGUGAAAAGCCCGCUCGCCGGAAGACCAAGGGUUCCUGUCCAACGUUAAUCGGGGCAGGGUGAGUCGACCCCUAAGGCGAGGCCGAAAGGCGUAGUCGAUGGGAAACGGGUUAAUAUUCCCGUACUUGGUGUUACUGCGAAGGGGGGACGGAGAAGGCUAUGUUGGCCGGGCGACGGUUGUCCCGGUUUAAGCGUGUAGGUGUGUGUUCCAGGUAAAUCCGGUUCACUUUAACACUGAGGCGUGACGACGAGGCACUACGGUGCUGAAGCAACAAAUGCCCUGCUUCCAGGAAAAGCCUCUAAGCAUCAGGUAACAUCAAAUCGUACCCCAAACCGACACAGGUGGUCAGGUAGAGAAUACCAAGGCGCUUGAGAGAACUCGGGUGAAGGAACUAGGCAAAAUGGUGCCGUAACUUCGGGAGAAGGCACGCUGACACGUAGGUGAAGUGAUUUACUCACGGAGCUGAAGUCAGUCGAAGAUACCAGCUGGCUGCAACUGUUUAUUAAAAACACAGCACUGUGCAAACACGAAAGUGGACGUAUACGGUGUGACGCCUGCCCGGUGCCGGAAGGUUAAUUGAUGGGGUCAGCGCAAGCGAAGCUCCUGAUCGAAGCCCCGGUAAACGGCGGCCGUAACUAUAACGGUCCUAAGGUAGCGAAAUUCCUUGUCGGGUAAGUUCCGACCUGCACGAAUGGCGUAAUGAUGGCCAGGCUGUCUCCACCCGAGACUCAGUGAAAUUGAACUCGCUGUGAAGAUGCAGUGUACCCGCGGCAAGACGGAAAGACCCCGUGAACCUUUACUAUAGCUUGACACUGAACAUUGAGCCUUGAUGUGUAGGAUAGGUGGGAGGCUUUGAAGUGUGGACGCCAGUCUGCAUGGAGCCGACCUUGAAAUACCACCCUUUAAUGUUUGAUGUUCUAACGUGGACCCGUUACCCGGGUUGCGGACAGUGUCUGGUGGGUAGUUUGACUGGGGCGGUCUCCUCCUAAAGAGUAACGGAGGAGCACGAAGGUUGGCUAAUCCUGGUCGGACAUCAGGAGGUUAGUGCAAUGGCAUAAGCCAGCUUGACUGCGAGCGUGACGGCGCGAGCAGGUGCGAAAGCAGGUCAUAGUGAUCCGGUGGUUCUGAAUGGAAGGGCCAUCGCUCAACGGAUAAAAGGUACUCCGGGGAUAACAGGCUGAUACCGCCCAAGAGUUCAUAUCGACGGCGGUGUUUGGCACCUCGAUGUCGGCUCAUCACAUCCUGGGGCUGAAGUAGGUCCCAAGGGUAUGGCUGUUCGCCAUUUAAAGUGGUACGCGAGCUGGGUUUAGAACGUCGUGAGACAGUUCGGUCCCUAUCUGCCGUGGGCGCUGGAGAACUGAGGGGGGCUGCUCCUAGUACGAGAGGACCGGAGUGGACGCAUCACUGGUGUUCGGGUUGUCAUGCCAAUGGCACUGCCCGGUAGCUAAAUGCGGAAGAGAUAAGUGCUGAAAGCAUCUAAGCACGAAACUUGCCCCGAGAUGAGUUCU
rnacentral:rRNA from 1 species